rnacentral:rRNA from 1 species
AGUUACCGCUCUAUAACCCUUUGUGAACAUACCUACAACUGUUGCUUCGGCGGGUAGGCCGUCCCCUGAAAAGGACGCCUCCCGGCCCGGACCGGACCCCCCGCGGGACCGGACCCGGCGCCCGCCGGAGGAUAACCAAACUCUAUUGUAACGACGUUUCUUCUGAGUGGCAUAAGCAAAAUAAUCAAAACUUUUAACAACGGAUCUCUUGGUUCUGGCAUCGAUGAAGAACGCAGCGAAAUGCGAUAAGUAAUGUGAAUUGCAGAAUUCAGUGAAUCAUCGAAUCUUUGAACGCACAUUGCGCCCGCCAGCAUUCUGGCGGGCAUGCCUGUUCGAGCGUCAUUUCAACCCUCAAGCUCUGCUUGGUGUUGGGGCUCUACGGUCGACGUAGGCCCUCAAAGGUAGUGGCGGACCCUCCCGGAGCCUCCUUUGCGUAGUAACAUUUCGUCUCGCACUGGGAUCCGGAGGGACUCUUGCCGUAAAACCCCCCAAUUUUCCAAAGGUUGACCUCGGAUCAGGUAGGAAUACCCGCUGAACUUAA